GCCACUCUCCUGCUGACCAUGCUGCGAAAAACACCAACCAGGCCACUCACUUCCCAGCCGCGGCAACACAAGAACAACACGCCCGUCACGUCCCUGGCUGGCUGGCUGUACAUACCUCGUGACAACACUUCCUAUUCAACACUACAACACUUGCUACACGACACCAUUAUGGGCCAGUUCCACAGUGCAACACAGCGUCAUUGCAAGCACCCAUACCAAACUACACCCCUCAUAAAGGUCAGUUGUUAUACUCAGCACUUAAACUAAAAUACAAACUCCAAUUUCACAGUCCAACACAGAGACUUUGUAAUCACUCUAACCAAGCUAUUCGAUCUUCCACAAUCCACAAUGCUUAGGUUUUCGAUGCAACAACACAUACACAAGAGAUUUCCCAUAUGGUUUUCUCAAAUUUUUUAACUUAUAUAUCAACACCAAACACUACUCAAGGGAUUUUCAAAGUCUGUGGUAUUGGUUUGGAGGCUAAAGAAGAAGUGCUUUCAUUCAUUGAGUUGAAACGCAUCCUCGUUAUUUUGUAUCCAUUGUUUCUUGUUACGCUUGAUUGACUCUAAAAUAAUCAUGAACAUUUAACUAACCCAUCACGUCGAACUGUGAAAGUGGACCUAAGACACUAAGCUAAGACACUAAAGAUAUUUCCUGAAUGGGUGUCUUAAAUUGCUGACCUUCUUCAUCAACACCAAGCACCACACAAGGAGUUUUUGUAGUAUUUGUGUCUGGUUUGGGGGCUUACAAACUUGCUGAACUGGACUGUACAAUAACUUGGCAACACUUCCUGGAACACAAGCCACCACACAUCUACUAUAUAAUGAUACAACUUUAGUAAGAGUAACAACACUAAGUAUAUUUAACAAAUAAGACAGAAGCAAGAAUCAACAAUUAUAAGCCCCUCCAUUGACUAAUUUCGUAGCAAAUUUUGAGAUUAUUGAAUAAAUGGUGUGUGUGUAGCGUGUAUGUAGUUUGAUGUGAAAAGUAAGAAAGUGAGAAAGCCAUUCGUGAGUUUUUGAACUCUUCUUUUUGUUGUUGAGAAACAUUAGAGAAACGUCGAGAUAUUUUCCGGAGGCAUUGUUCUGAGAGUGGUCAGGAAAUGUCAGGGGGCAUUAUCGCGUGGGUCGUCAUCGGGUUGUCCAUCGUGUCCAAAGAGUGCCAGGGGUCUGUCAGGGGUCAGUAGGUCGUGUAAUCGAGUUGUCAGUCCAUGUCCAAAGAGUGCCAGGGGUCUGUCAGGGGUCAGUAGGUCGUAUAAUCGUGUUGUCAGUCCAUGUCCAAAGAGUGCCAGGGGUCUGUCAGGGGUCAGAAGGUCGUAUAAUCGGGUUGUCAGUCCAUGUCCAAAGAGUGCCAGGGGUCUGUCAGGGGUCAGUAGGUCGUAUAAUCGGGUUGUCAGUCCAUGUCCAAAGAGUGCCAGGGGUCUGUCAGGGGUCAGUAGGUCGUGGGUCGUCAGGAGUUGUCAGUCCAUGAGUUUUUUUAGUCUGGCUGAGCCGCUGUCUCCCCAGAAGAGUCUCGGCCAUAACUUUGGUGUUGUCUGUCGGUCUGGAUGAGCCACAGUCUCCCCAGAUGAGACUCACUCUUACCGACACACAGCACCGUUUUUUUGUUGUUUUAUGAUUUUUUUGUAGUUUUUUUGUUUUUGUAGUUAGUGACGCUCUGCCCUGCUGGGGGGAUUUCUUCUUCCCCGCGCGGCAGUUCCUCUUGAAGGCGUCAGUCAUUAUAAUUAUGGUGAUUUGUACCGGUGACCUAGACUGAUAUAAGGGUCACGGCUCGUCUGGCUACUUCUUAGGAAGGUCAGCACGUCUUGCGGGAACUUCAACGCCCCCCCCGCCGGACCUUCGGGAUCCCCGGCACCGCCAUGGACGCCCCGGGGGAGCCAGGGCGCCCUACCGGGCCCCUUCAGCCCUGCGAUGCUCACCAGCAAGACCAAGGGCUCGCUGGCGCUCCCCAGCCCCGACGAUUCGAGGAGGGCGGGUGCAAGAACGCGCUACUCAAAAGUGCCAGACGGGAUUAUUAAAUCAAUCACAAACACUGUUAGGGCGCCGCGCACCGCGUUUGUAGGUUCUGGGAUGGAAAGUCGGAGGGCCGCGGGAACGCGACAGAGCAUCAACAAAAUAGAAAGAAAUACUCGAGACGGCUUUCGGCGAGGCAUUCGAUUCCCUCUUUCUUUCUCACUUCCCUUCCACCCUUACUUUCUUCUGUGCUCCCCAACUCUCUCUCUCUCUCUCU